rnacentral:rRNA from 1 species
ACGGGAGGCAGCAGUGGGGAAUAUUGGGCAAUGGGCGCAAGCCUGACCCAGCAACGCCGCGUGAAGGAUGAAGGUCUUCGGAUUGUAAACUUCUUUGAUUGGGGAAGAAUAAAUGACCUACCUAAAGAACAAGCCACGGCUGACUACGUGCCAGCAGCCGCGGUAAUACGUAGGUGGCAAGCGUUAUCCGGAUUUACUGGGUGUAAAGGGCGUGUAGGCGGCUCUGCAAGUCAGAAGUGAAAUUCCCGAGCUCAACUCGGGCGCUGCUUCUGAAACUGCAGAACUUGAGUACUGGAGGGGAAUGCGGAAUUCCUAGUGUAGCGGUAAAAUGCGCAGAUAUUAGGAGGAACACCGGUGGCGAAGGCGGCUUUCUGGACAGUAACUGACGCUGAGGCGCGAAAGCGUGGGGAGCAAACAGGAUUAGAUACCCUGGUA